rnacentral:rRNA from 1 species
UAUUGCACAAUGGGCGCAAGCCUGAUGCAGCCAUGCCGCGUGUAUGAAGAAGGCCUUCGGGUUGUAAAGUACUUUCAGCGAGGAGGAAGGCGUUAAGGUUAAUAACCUUGGUGAUUGACGUUACUCGCAGAAGAAGCACCGGCUAACUCCGUGCCAGCAGCCGCGGUAAUACGGAGGGUGCAAGCGUUAAUCGGAAUUACUGGGCGUAAAGCGCACGCAGG